rnacentral:rRNA from 1 species
UACAGGGGGGGCAAGCGUUGUUCGGAAUUACUGGGCGUAAAGGGCUCGUAGGCGGCCAACUAAGUCCGACGUGAAAUCCCAAAGCUUAACUUUGGAACUGCGUCGGAUACUGGAUGGCUUGAAUUCGGGAGAGGGAUGCAGAAUUCCAGGUGUAGCGGUGAAAUGCGUAGAUAUCUGGAGGAAUACCGGUGGCGAAGGCGGCAUCCUGGACCGACAUUGACGCUGAGGAGCGAAAGCUAGGGGAGCAAACAGG